UACGUAGGGGGCGAGCGUUGUCCGGAAUCACUGGGCGUAAAGCGCGCGUAGGCGGCGCGGCGCAUCCCGUGUGAAAGCGCCCGGCUCAACCGGGCGAGGCCACGGGAGAUGGCCGCGCUGGAGGGCGGCAGAGGCAGGCGGAAGGCCCGAAGUAGUGGUGAAAUGCGUAGAGAUCGGGCGGAACACCAGUGGCGAAGGCGACUUACUGGACACAUAUUGACGCUGAGGUGCGAAAGCGUGGGGAGCAAACAGG
rnacentral:rRNA from 1 species